rnacentral:tRNA from 1 species
AGGGCUAUAGCUCAGUUCGGUAGAGCAACUCGUUUACACNNNGAGAAGGUCUACGGUUCGAAUCCGUAUAGCCCUA